rnacentral:lncRNA from 10 species
AGGCAGUGCCUCUCCGCAAGAGGCUCUGGGUCUGUGUUGCUGAAUUGGCCUGUGUCCUCAAAGCACGUUCCAGCUUUCAAGGGGAAAAUGACAAGUGGAAGAUGAGCAAUGGACUGAAUUGCCUAAGGGUAACCCAGGCUAACAGAAGCUCCAUCUACUUGCGGCUACAACAGAAGAACAAGUGGCCUCCAACUAUAUUAACCCAGGUGUACACAGAGCCAUGUAAAAUUUGAGUCUCGCACUAUGAAGUUCCAAUCCAGA